rnacentral:rRNA from 1 species
GUCGGUGUCUUAGCAGUGAGGGUCCACCCGUUCCCAUCCCGAACACGGUCGUUAAGCUCACUUGCGCUGACAAUACUUGGCGGGUGACUGCCUGGGAAGAUAAGUCAUUGCCGACA